rnacentral:rRNA from 1 species
AGCGAACGCUGGCGGCAGGCCUAACACAUGCAAGUCGAACGAAGUCUUCGGACUUAGUGGCGGACGGGUGAGUAACACGUGGGAACGUGCCUUUAGGUUCGGAAUAACUCAGGGAAACUUGUGCUAAUACCGAAUGUGCCCUUCGGGGGAAAGAUUUAUCGCCUUUAGAGCGGCCCGCGUCUGAUUAGCUAGUUGGUGAGGUAAAGGCUCACCAAGGCGCCGAUCAGUAGCUGGUCUGAGAGGAUGAUCAGCCACAUUGGGACUGAGACACGGCCCAAACUCCUGCGGGAGGCAGCAGUGGGGAAUCUUGCGCAAUGGGCGAAAGCCUGACGCUGCCAUGCCGCGUGAAUGAUGAAGGUCUUAGGAUUGUAAAAUUCUUUCACCGGGGACGAUAAUGACGGUACCCGGAGAAGAAGCCCCGGCUAACUUCGUGCCAGCAGCCGCCGCGG